CAUCAAAGAGGACUGCCCCCUCCAUACGCUUUUUUUCCCUCUUCCUCAUUCGGGGGAGGGGGUGCAGAACUUCCCCUGAGAUGAGCGGUGCAGUGAAAUCCAUCACAUUGGCCUUGAAGCAGAGCAGCGACACAUGAGCAGGCUGCAGUGGACAGGCAUGGAACAGUAAGGCUGUCAGAGGAAUUACCUGCUGGAUGCUAACACAGAGCCUCCACCUCCAGAGCACACCAGUGAUCAUACAGGCUUCUCAGCAGAGGCUCGUGUGUGUCUGGAGUGAGACAGCAGCAGCCCGAGUGUGAACUCGACACCGAGCUGGAAAUGCCACAGCACCGCCAAGCACACCUGGCAUGCUGCUUGACGGGACGAGUGGGAAAAGCUGCAGCAACGCGACGCUCAGAAGGGGAGCGCGCUAACAAAGUUCAAACACAAAGUGAGAGCUUCUUAUCUGUCCGUCCAGCAGCCAGAGCGGAUUGGAGUGACACUGGAAUCUGAGAGCCACUCACUGCUGGGAAGCAACGUAAACCUGUACGUGGGAAUGCAGAGCUGCAGCACUUAACCCAAUUAUUAUUCAAGAAAAGAUCAGAACCGGUUUCCACAAUUUUCUCCUCUGUCAGUGUUCUAGAAUCACAAACGUCAGCACUGAUGCACUGAAAAAGAGAACUUAAAAAAGGUUUCCCCUUUUUUUCCCCAUUCAAGACCUGGAUUCGAGUGAAGUCUUCCACUGAAAUCCUAAUGAAAACAUUGAUGGCUGUACUGUGUUGCUUUAUAAUGUGAAAGUAGGACACAAAAUGGAACACAAAGGCAGCCUGGAGCAGCACAAACUGUCACCACAGCCUUCAGGGGAGACUGGAUCCAAGCCCUCGAGCCGCAUAAUAAACUAUGAUGUGGAGAAAACACUAGAGGAAGAGUCGUACUUAGCUCAAAGUUAACGUCCUACAAACAAGCGACUGGGACGGAGAGCUGUGAGGGAGAAGCCCUCAGCUGUCACUUUAUUAGGAACAGCAGCUAGACUCCACUCUAGAGCAGAGCUGCGACAGCGAGGGGUCAGAAGCGAUGGCGGGGCUCGUGAGUCACGCAGCUUCAAAUAGCUCAGAGGGAAAAAGCACACACCUCCACAGGCUGUGAGUCCACGGUGCCGCCUCAGCUCUCACACUGCCCAUCACAACAGAACCACACGUCCACGUACUGGACGGUGAGCGUGCAGCGCUGCAAGGGGUCAGCGUCCUGCUAUGCUUGAAGGACACCUGGAUCAGCUGAUUGCCACUUCACAAACAUCUGCUUCCGCAGCUACCAGCUUGGUUUCCAUGGAUGCAUAAACAAAACAGCUGCUACACGCUGCCAAAAUGAAGCGGUCUGUCAGUGCAUGCGUCCUGGCUCCGCCGUCUCCACCACGGUGAUAUGAGCGACCGCCGCCUCCAUGUCCGCUCUGCUGAGCUACUCACCCGCUACACGUCCCGGCGCCGUCUGCUAGCAGCCGUAUCAGUGUUUACGUCGGAAGCCUCGCAGACACAUGUCAGGCUAACAGGCUAACGGGCUUAGCAGCUUUAUGGAUCACAGCAGCUGUGGCCGUACGGCAUUAGCAGCGACGCGCUACUGGGCUGAACCGAGCCCUCGGCUCCGUCUUCCUGGAGCUGGAAGCCCAGCCUCGGCCAGCAGGACGCCCGCACCAGCCCGGCCGACGCUAUAACGCCUCUGUGGCUUGCGGAACCAAGCCCGGAGGAAGGAGCCGGGAGCCGCGGGGACCCGCCGGACCCGCUCCUAUGCUGCUGACGGGCAGCUACAGCGGGCCAGACGUCCACAAGCGCCUGUAACCAUCAUGUUUUCACGGCUUCUGCCUGACGAGCUUCGGCCGCUGGAGCCCGUUUCUCCCCGUUAGGAAGCGCAGACCUCAGGCCUGCCCUCGGCUAACUGGGUCGGGCUAACGCUGGGCGGAAAACGCCCGGAGCAGCGCGGUGUCUCCGAACUAGCCGUCCCGCUACACAGGCUACGCUUACCCGUCGGAAGGACCGAGGCUCCGGGCUUCUUGGUUAACAUGGCGGCCGCUCCUCUCCUCUGGACACGGACGGACCGGACGCCUCCUCUUCCUCAGCAGGAGCUCCUCCUCUUCCUCCUCUUCCUCCCCUUCCUCUUCCUGAACCACCUCCUCAGCGCCGCCACUCCCCAACUCAACCACACUCUCUUUUAGAGUUGAUUUGACAAGUCCCUUCUCAUGUGACACAAGCAAUAUUGUUAUUGUUGUUGUUAUGAUUGUUUAAGAGGUUAAUUUUAAACCUAAAUUACAAAGCAAAAGUCACAUUUAUUGUAGGUUUUUAUUGUAUUGUAGGUUUACAUUUAUUAUUAAUCCAAUUAUUACUUUGAAGAGCCCUUAUUGUGUCAGACAACAGUAUGAGUAGAAGCCCUUUGGCAGCUAAGUCUGGAGUUAGUCUCUAAAAGCUUGUCACACUGGCAGUUGGACAGUUUAUCCCAUUAUUUCUGAUAGAUCCUCUCAAGUGUAUGUCAACUGCCUAUUCCUGCUCUAGACCUGCAGAACUGUCUAUCUGUCUGUUACUGAGUCACAGGUUGUGGCCUCCAUCCAUCCACUCCACCAUUAAUGGCCAGUGUUCCUCCCAUCUUCAGGGAACGUGUGGCGCUGUGGUUGAGAGAGACCAGGGUUCAUCUGGUCGUCUCCUCGUCCAGAGUCACAGUUUAGUUAGAUGUCCACGUGGAAUCUCGCUCUUCUCCGACCUUUCUGUUGCUAACUUUCAGUUUAUUAAAGCCACUGUUCUGACGUACAGUAAACCCCAGAAAUGUUUAAAAAUGUGUGAUCAGCAACAAAUACACAAAUGAAGAAAAUACUGUAACAGGCACUAGUUCGGUUCAGAUUUUACCAUUUCUUAGUAGAGACUCAUCAUCAGACUGUAGGCAGUCACUAUAAUAAUACUGAUGUUUUACCAAUUUAAUAAAAGUAAAACCACUGUUACUCACCACAGAACUGAGACGCUGUCUGAAGCAGGUAGGGUAACUAGUAACAAUAAAACUCAUCAUUCAAAGUGCAUCAGAGCAGAAUGGUCCUCUUCAACCUCCAUUUCCCAUGUGAGCCCUUCAUGGCUUUUCCCAACAUGUAAUUAUUCAUCAAGCUGGUGGAAACCAACCGCAUGUUUACCUGUUGCAGACGCAGGGAGCUGCGUUGUGUUGACAACAUUUGUCCAGUCACCGUCUGCAUGUGUCUCAGGUGUCACUGCUUUUAGGUGAAUUAAAAAGAUGCAGGGAACUACCAGACGUCACAGAGUUUUAUUAUUAUUUGCUGCCCCACAGACCUAAAAGGGCCAUGACCAGACACAGCGUCCUGCAUGUUUCACUGCUACAAUAAAAUAGUACCAUAAAUUCACGCUCACCCUUUUUCACCUGAAGGUAGUUUAUGGUUUAGAUGUUAACCCAGAGCCCAUCUGUUAAUGCGUCUGCAUCCAGACUCAUGACAUGUAAAAAUAAUGUGUACAUGUUAGUAGUUCUGGGGGCAGUUUUAAUCUUUAGAAUUCACACACAUUCAUGAAUGAUGCAAAUUCAAGAGAAAAUAUUGUUUUUAUGGGGAUUAUUGUGUUUGUACACCUGCUAUAGAAAUAAGUAGCAGAACUGAUCAGCCAGAACAAGAGCACUACCUGGUGGUUGCAUGUUGUUCACAUUGACAUGGCUCAUUUGGUCCAGUACAAAUGUUGUGUGAGCACAUUAACUGGUGACUGACUUCCGUUGAGUUGUUUUACCUGGGUAACAUCCUGUUAACUGUCCUCAUCAAUGCCUUGGUUUACGUUACCUAUCUGUUAGAGCGUGCGCUCUCCACGACAGAGUAAUCUAUGGACGCAGCAAAGCGUUUACCUUGUGUUUUGUGUCGUGUUUUUUAUGAACGAUAAGGAGCAUCUCAUCUUCUUACAUAUCACGCUGUUUAAAAGCAUUGUUAAAAUAAACGUGAUCACCUAAGCAAACA